rnacentral:rRNA from 1 species
CACGUAGGGCGCGAGCGUUUGUCCGGAAUUAUUGGGCGUAAAGAGCUCGUAGGCGGCCUGUUGCGUCCGCUGUGAAAAGCCCGGGGGCUUAACCCCCGGGUCUGCAGUGGAUACGGGCAGACUAGAGUGUGGUAGGGGGAGACUGGAAUUCCUGGUGUAGCGGUGAAAUGCGCAGAUAUCAGGAGGAACACCGAUGGCGAAGGCAGGUCUCUGGGCCACUACUGACGCUGAGAAGCGAAAAGCAUGGGGGAGC